ACUGGCUCCAAUACUACGGAAUGAGU
rnacentral:piRNA from 1 species